ACUGAUACUAAAGUUUCUUUUCCCAAUUCUUUACUUGCAAAGGUUAUGUUAGAAUUUCUUGGAUGUAUUGGUUUAAAAAGAUUUUCUAUCACCAAGCUGCUCUUGUUUAUGUGCUUACCUGACUUCUUUUGAAUGUAACUCUUUUCAAAUUUAAAAUAUAUUCUUAUGUAGAAUUAGGCUGCUUAUCGAACGGAUAAUUUCACUUAAUAGUUUGGCCUAUCGGAUAUCGGUUUUCAAAUUUACCUACCCAUUAGCCAUCUUCAAAAGCCUUGGUAUCUUUCUAAGCAUUGUUUCCAUUUAAAAUAAAGACCUUCUACUUGAAGAGAAGGACAAUGUAAGAAAUAUAAUGCUAACAAGUCAUCUAAUAGUUGUAUUAUAUGCAGGAGCGAUUGAAGAGCUUACACAAUAUAUUGUUGAUAUUCUGUAUUCAUUGGCAUAGCAAAUGCCCUGAUAAUGAUCAUUGAGCUUUAUGGAUGCAGUUCGUACAAAUGGAUCUGCCAAGCAUACCCUUUUACAUGCUGAGUUACCCUGUUUGAAGAUACUCAAUGUCGAGGUUCUUAAAUAAAUAACUUGCCAGCUUCCACACUUUUUUAAUCUCAUCCGACUGCCUGAUAAAGCAAAAACAGAGCAAUAUAACCUCCAUACAUUCAACAGAAGUAUCAGCAUCAACUUUACAUUUCUUGUUGUAUUGGAAGAAACAUCGCUAUUCCUUAAAUUAUAAUCUUCAUCAUAUUGGGCCCGGCU